rnacentral:rRNA from 1 species
UACGUAGGGGGCAAGCGUUGUCCGGAAUCAUUGGGCGUAAAGAGCGCGUAGGCGGUCCGGUAAGUCCGCUCUGAAAGUCCGGGGCUCAACCCCGGGAGGCGGGCGGAUACUGUCGGGCUAGAGUCCGGAAGAGGCGAGUGGAAUUCCUGGUGUAGCGGUGAAAUGCGCAGAUAUCAGGAGGAACACCAAUGGCGAAGGCAGCUCGCUGGGGACGGUACUGACGCUGAGGCGCGAAAGCGUGGGGAGCAAACAGG